rnacentral:misc_RNA from 1 species
GUUAAGCAACCGCAUUGCAGUAUCAAAAUUACCAGCCGCAGCAUGUUCUGCAGCAAGGGACGACCUCUGUAUCCAAACCUGGUUGGCAGGCAGGCCAGGAGUUGGGGCCACAAAAACUGAACUGCGAGAACUGACUGAUACUUUUGGGGUGUCAGCCUCUGGUGGGAGUUCCAAAUCUUCAAGGUCCCAUCCCCCUUCUUCCUCAUUUCCUUCUGCACCUUCCUCAUCCUCCAAAAUUGCUGUCACAUCCCCAUUCUGUAAGCCAUCAACAUCAACCACAUCCAGCUCCUCACCCCAAUCACCAUCUGCAACCUCGUCAUCGUCUUCGUCAGCACGACCAGCACCCACAUUAUCCAGCCCACCUUCAAAUAUUCCUUUCAUGACUCUCAGAAGUGGCCAAUCACCACCGCACAUGACUGGAGUAGGAGGCAAGAGGAGGGAUGCGGUCUUGCCUUCUGGUAAAGAUGGAAUGUCAUCUCCCAAUUCAGCAGCUAGCCUUUCAGCUACAUCAUGUAAACCAUGGGUUGAUGCUGUGAUGUACGCAAGAGGUAAGUGGCCAACACUCUCCAAGAUCUUUACGCGCUCACGCACAUCACCAAGAUAUAGACCAUUGUGAAAUUGACCCAUGACAU